UGGGGAAUAUUGGACAAUGGGCGAAAGCCUGAUCCAGCCAUGCCGCGUGUGUGAAGAAGGCCUUCGGGUUGUAAAGCACUUUAAGCGAGGAGGAAUGGCUCUGGGUUAAUACCCUUGAGCAGUGACGUUACUCGCAGAAUAAGCACCGGCUAACUCUGUGCCAGCAGCCGCGGUAAUACAGAGGGUGCAAGCGUUAAUCGGAAUUACUGGGCGUAAAGCGCGCGUAGGCGGUUGCGUAAGUUGGAUGUGAAAUCCCCGGGCUCAACCUGGGAAUUGCAUUCAAAACUGCGCGGCUAGAGUGUGGGAGAGGAAGGUAGAAUUCCAGGUGUAGCGGUGAAAUGCGUAGAUAUCUGGAGGAAUACCGAUGGCGAAGGCAGCCUUCUGGCCUAACACUGACGCU
rnacentral:rRNA from 1 species